rnacentral:rRNA from 1 species
AUUGAACGCUGGCGGCAUGCUUUACACAUGCAAGUCGAACGGCAGCACGGGCUUCGGCCUGGUGGCGAGUGGCGAACGGGUGAGUAAUGCAUCGGAACGUACCGUGUAAUGGGGGGAUAACGUAGCGAAAGUUACGCUAAUACCGCAUACGCCCUGAGGGGGAAAGUGGGGGACCGCAAGGCCUCACGUUAUAUGAGCGGCCGAUGUCGGAUUAGCUAGUUGGUGGGGUAAAGGCCUACCAAGGCGACGAUCCGUAGCGGGUCUGAGAGGAUGAUCCGCCACACUGGGACUGAGACACGGCCCAGACUCCUACGGGAGGCAGCAGUGGGGAAUUUUGGACAAUGGGCGCAAGCCUGAUCCAGCCAUGCCGCGUGAGUGAAGAAGGCC